rnacentral:rRNA from 1 species
UACGGAGGGUGCGAGCGUUGUCCGGAAUCAUUGGGCGUAAAGGGCGCGUAGGUGGCCCGGUCAGUCAGUGGUGAAAGCGCGGGGCUCAACUCCGCGUCGGCCAUUGAUACUGCUGGGCUUGAGCACUGUAGAGGCAGGCGGAAUUCCGGGUGUAGCGGUGGAAUGCGUAGAGAUCCGGAAGAACACCGGUGGCGAAGGCGGCUCACUGGCCCGAUACUGACGCUGAGGCACGAAGCGUGGGGAAGCAAACAGGG